UCGCACCUACCGAUUGAAUGGUCCGGUGAGGCCUCGGGAUUGUGGCCAGUUCACUUUAUUGUGAGUUGGUCGCGAGAACUUGUCUGAACCUUAUCAUUUAGAGGAAGGUG
rnacentral:rRNA from 1 species